UUACGGCUCAGUAACACGUAGUCAACCUGCCCUGGAGACCAGGAUAACCCCGGGAAACUGGGAUUAAUACUGGAUAGGUCAUCUCAUCUGGAAGGAGAGAUGGCUUAAAGGGGUGUGUGAGCUUCUUUCAUACAGCUGCUCCAGGAUGGGACUGCGACUGAUCAGGCUGUUGGCGGGGUAAUGGCCCACCAAACCAGUAACCAGUACGGGCCUUGAGAGAGGGGGCCCGGAGAUGGACACUGAGAGAAGGGUCCAGGUCCUACGGGGCGCAGCAGGCGCGAAACCUUCGCAAUGCGCGAAAGCGUGACGAGGUUAAUCCGAGUGGUUCCCGCUGAGGGAAUCUUUUGUCGGCUCUAAAAAGGCCGGCGAAUAAGGGGAGGGCAAGUCUGGUGUCAGCCGCCGCGGUAAUACCAGCUCCUCGAGUGGUCGGGGCGAUUAUUGGGCCUAAAGCAUCCGUAGCCGGUUCUGUAGGUCCUCUGUUAAAUCCAACGGCUUAACCGUUGGCCCGCAGAGGAUACCGCAGGACUAGGAGGCGGGAGAGGCAGACGGUACUCUACGUGUAGGGGUAAAAUCCUUUGAUCCGUAGAAGACCACCAGUGGCGAAGGCGGUCUGCCAGAACGCGCUCGACGGUGAGGGAUGAAAGCUGGGGGAGCGAACCGGAUUAGAUACCCGGGUAGUCCCAGCCGUAAACGAUGCGAGCUAGAUGAUUCGGUCGCAAAUCGCGAUCGAAGUGUCGCAGGGAAGCCGUUAAGCUCGCCGCCUGG
rnacentral:rRNA from 1 species